rnacentral:rRNA from 1 species
GACGAACGCUGGCGGCGUGCUUAACACAUGCAAGUCGAACGGAAAGGCCCUAGUGUUGUGGGGUGCUCGAGUGGCGAACGGGUGAGUAACACGUGACUAACCUGCCCUUGACUUUGGGAUAACUUACGGAAACUGGGGCUAAUACCGGAUAGGAGCGCCUGCUGCAUGGUGGGGGUUGGAAAUUUUCGGCUGUUGGGGAUGGACGCGCGGCUUAUCAGCUUGUUGGUGGGGGAGUGGCGUACCAAGGCUUUGACGGGUAGCCGGCCUGAGAGGGUGAUCGGCCACAUUGGGACUGAGAUACGGACCAGACUCCUACGGGAGGCAGCAGUGGGGAAUAUUGCACAAUGGGCGGAAGCCUGAUGCAGAAACGUCGCGUGCGGGAUGACGGCCUUCGGGUUGUAAACCGCUUUCGCCUGUGACGAAGCGGGAGUGACGGUAACGGGUAAAGAAGCACCGGCUAACUACGUG